UCAGGAUGAACGCUGGCGGCGUGCCUAACACAUGCAAGUCGAACGGAGAGUCAUUCUUCGGAAGGAUUCUAGUGGCGGACGGGUGAGUAACGCGUGGGUAACCUGCCUUACACAGGGGGACAACAGUUGGAAACGACUGCUAAUACCGCAUAAGCCCACGGAACCGCAUGGUUCUGUGAGAGAAGAUUUAUCAGUGUAAGAUGGGCCCGCGUCUGAUUAGUUAGUUGGCGGGGUAACGGCCCACCAAGAUGACGAUCAGUAGCCGACCUGAGAGGGUGAUCGGCCACAUUGGGACUGAGACACGGCCCAAACUCCUACGGGAGGCAGCAGUGGGGAAUAUUGCGCAAUGGGGGGAACCCUGACGCCAGCAACGCCGCGUGAGUGAAGAAGUAUUUCGGUAUGUAAAGCUCUAUCAGCAGGGAAGAAGAUGACGGUACCUGCAGAAGAAGUCCCGGCUAACUACGUGCCAGCCGCCGC
rnacentral:rRNA from 1 species